UACGUAGGGUGCGAGCGUUAAUCGGAAUUACUGGGCGUAAAGCGUGCGCAGGCGGUUUUGUAAGCCAGAUGUGAAAUCCCCGGGCUUAACCUGGGAAUGGCAUUUGGGACUGCAAGGCUUGAGUGCGGCAGAGGAGACUGGAAUACUUGGUGUAGCAGUGAAAUGCGUAGAUAUCAAGUGGAACACCAGUGGCGAAGGCGAGUCUCUGGACAACUCCUGACACUGAGGCACGAAAGCUAGGGGAGCAAACAGG
rnacentral:rRNA from 1 species